UAGGCACGGUUCAGAUCCAGGGUUGGUUCCGGGUCUCAAGCUCGCCUCCGAGGAAGACGACCAACGGGCUGCAAACUCCUGCUCCACUUCGCCAGAUUUCUCCCCCGAACCCAUCUCAUCUCCCUCUCGGUCGGUCGCGUUCGCUAUCCGAUCGUCCUCGUGGUUUUCGCGGAGUUUUUGGUAGCUUCUGUGGUGGUUCCCGCUGGAGAAAUUCGGAUCUCGGUUCUUCACCGAUCGAACCCGAGGACAUCAGGCGUCUCCCUGUUCUUUCGAUGAAUCGGGUCCAUUUUGUUCGGAUCCACUGGAGAGGGUGAAAAAAAAAAGGUUUUGACGGGUUCUUCCGCGGGUGGAUUGGGAAAUUCGUUGACAGAAGAAUCUCUUGGCUCUACUGUGCCAUUUUCUUUGUUGUGAUCUGAUAAACUAGAGCUUACAAGGUUUUCACUGUGAUUCGUAUCGGGGUGACUAGCUUGGUUGCAAAAAUUUCGUCUUUUGGAGAUGGAGACACUAGUUGCGGUUGGUCAUCAUCGGAGCCAAUAUUGCAGCAGGAGCAAGCCACGGAUCACGGAUCAUUUCGGUUCCUCGCCUACGAGAGGCUUCAAAGGGAUCAAUUGCCGAACCUUUCAGUCUGGUGUGGCUAUUCUGCCGUCGCCUCCCACGAAAGAUUUCUUUUUUAAUGGCUAUUCGGAACCCAAAUCUCCUGUCUAUUAUUCGGAACCUCCCAAAAGAAGUAGGAGGACCAAACCUAUCCCUAUUAACCCCGUGCCGACUCCUAAAGAAGCCACCUUUGCCGAUGACUUUUCAUGCUCUGAGCUGUGGGCUGGGCCUGCCUACUCGAACUCACCCCCUCCUAGUUCGUUGCCCAUCCCUAAAUUUUCCCUUCGACAGAAGCGCAGUAUGUCCCUUGAAAUCCCAGUUCCGAAAUCUGAGGUCACAUUCCAACCUAUAUCAAGAUCAGCCCCGUCUUCUCCCUCCAGAGAGGCCACUACUUCCAUCAAUGACUUCCUUAACAACGCCACUGCUACUUCCACUGCCACUGCCACGGAGACCUUAAGACGAAUUCUCCACUUGGAUAUCGUUGAUGACUGAGUUUUGUAUAUAUAUGUCUGCUGCUUUGACCUGUACAGGUGGUCGUGAAUAACUUGGUGGCUAGCUUAUGCCUUUGCAUGUUAACUGGGUUUCUCUAGGUCACAUUGCUGGGCUGUUGGUGGUUGAAUUUGAUACAAAGUAGGGAAUUCUGUGGAAGUUCGGGAUGAAGAAUAUUGGAUAAUUCACUUAAUCUAGAGUGUAGUUAAGGAAUAUGAUGGUUAAGAAGGAGUUGCUGGAAGAUAGAGCGAGUGAGCUAGCAAAGACAUCAACUUACAGCUAGUGUUACCCGUAAUCUUCACUUCUCUCUGGCAAUUAGGAUGUUGAAGUAUCACUCAAUAUUGUGUCUCAGUAGCUUGUAUUUGGGCCGGUCUUCCUUUAGAUUUUAUGUAUAUCCUGUAGGUUUAGUAAAGUGCUUUUAUCAUGUUAUCAAACUUGUAGGAGUGCCUUUAGGAUCUAUCGCCAUUGUUCUAGCAGAACUUGCUUUCUGCUAGUGGGCCUCUCUUUUAUGUUAAUUUUAGUUUUUUUCUUGUUUCCCGCCCCCUUCUUUCCCCUAUUUGCUAUCACUCUUCAGCUGACUUCGAAGGCAGUGGUGUCAGAGUUCUCCUUCCACUUCUUCAGGUUUUUUUUGGAUGAAGAAGCUGGACGGGAUGGAACCAUGAUUUCCAUAGUCUUGCCUUCUCUACUACAUACAAGUACAGAUGUCAGUUGUCUUUGUAUCUGCUUCUCUUAUUUAUAGUUAUAUUAGUUUGUCUCCUCAGACUUAGAAGGGAAAAGUGUCUCAGUGUAGAUUUAGUUAUUUAGCUUCUGUUUUAGAUCGUCAACCAUGUUGGUCUUUGGUAACUCUGGUUUGUGAAAGCAUGUCAUCAACGUGGCGCCUAGAUCAUGUGCAUGAGGCAGCUGAACUUGUGACCACCGCAAGGUGACUGAAGAAUAGAAACCUGAGUAGACAUGUUACUUCAGCAAGAUAAUAAAUGGUGAAGCAAGCAUAUCAUAUGGUGUUGGGGUUUUUACACUAGGUAAUAUAGCUUGUAUCGUUGCCAGCAUGUAUUUCAUUGCUGUCUGUAAGCAGUGAUGUUUGUCUUUGUUAGUUGUAAUGUUGUGCUGUUGAGGACACUAAUUGUCCCACCCAAUAGAAAAACUAGAGUGUUGAUUAUGUGAUGAAAGUAAUAUUUCAUUUCUUAUUAGCAUCA